UACGGAGGGAGCGAGCGUUGUCCGAAGUUACUGGGCGUAAAGCGCGCGUAGGCGGGGAAUUAAGUGAGAAGUGAAAGGCUGGGGCUCAACCUCAUGCAGUGCUUCUCAUACUGGUUCUCUUGAGGGCGGUAGGGAGAAGUGGAAUGGCUGGUGUAGCGGUGAAAUGCGUAGAUAUCAGGAGGAACACCGGUGGCGAAGGCGGGUCUCUGGGCCGAUACUGACGCUGAGGAGCGAAAGCGUGGGGAGCGAACAGG
rnacentral:rRNA from 1 species